rnacentral:rRNA from 1 species
UACGUAGGGUGCGAGCGUUGUCCGGAAUUAUUGGGCGUAAAGAGCUCGUAGGCGGUUUGUCGGCGUCGGCCGUGAAAACUUGGGGCUUAACUCCAAGCUUGCGGUCGAUACGGGCAGACUUGAGUUCGGCAGGGGAGAGUGGAAUUCGUGGUGGUAGCGGUGAAAUGCGCAGAUAUCAGGAGGAACACCGGUGGCGAAGGCGGGUCUCGUGGGCCGAUACUGACGCUGAGGAGCGAAAGCGUGGGGAGCGAACAGG